GAUACUUUAUCAUAUCAGUCAUGUGGUGUUUUUUGACCAGUAAACAGCCACACACUCAGAGCACACAGAGUAGAAACUAACAUUAACCAUUACUCGCACACUAACAACGUAUUUGAUAUUGAUUUUUGCUACUAAAAAUGAAAAGGACGAGUUGUAUCUUUGGAUAACACUCCUUCAGUCCUUCACUCAUGUUGUGUUUCCUGUUCCUCAGGUGAUGUUACACAGCUGGAACUGGAGCAGAUAUCUUGAGCUGUCAACAUUUCUCUGAUCUUUCCAGUUGUCAUUGGAGACUUCAGAUGCAGAAGAUCACGACUGCAGUGACAAUCCACAGAGAUCCAACAACAGCAGAAACCAGCACUAUCAGAGAACCUGGAGGAACUGAAGAAGAGUAAAAGAGAGACAGUCAUGAAUCUGUAGCUGUUUUUCUCCUGAUAUUCCACCUCCAGAGGUAGAGAGAGACUGAUGCUGAGAUCAGACACACUGAUGCUGGACAAUAAACUGUUUCCUUUGUACCAGGAGAGAGUCACAUGACCCACAUUCACCACUGAACACAACAAUGAACAAUUCUGCUGUGAUGAAGAUGAUGAAGAUGAUGAAGAACAUUGGGAAGAGUUACUGCUGAUGACAGGAACAGGUAG